rnacentral:rRNA from 1 species
AUUGAACGCUGGCGGCAUGCUUUACACAUGCAAGUCGAACGGUAACAGGCCUUCGGGUGCUGACGAGUGGCGAACGGGUGAGUAAUGCAUCGGAACGUGCCCAGAGGUGGGGGAUAACGCAGCGAAAGCUGUGCUAAUACCGCAUGUGAUCUGAGGAUGAAAGCGGGGGACCAGGCAGCAAUGUUUGGCCUCGCGCCUUUGGAGCGGCCGAUGUCAGAUUAGGUAGUUGGUGGGGUAAAGGCCUACCAAGCCGACGAUCUGUAGCUGGUCUGAGAGGACGACCAGCCACACUGGGACUGAGACACGGCCCAGACUCCUACGGGAGGCAGCAGUGGGGAAGUUUGGACAAUGGGCGCAAGCCUGAUCCAGCAAUGCCGCGUGCGGGAAGAAGGCCUUCGGGUUGUAAACCGCCUUUGUACGGAACGAAAAGGCUCUGGCUAAUACCUGGGGCUGAUGACGGUACCGUAAGAAUAAGCACCGGCUAACUACGUG